rnacentral:rRNA from 1 species
GAUGAACGCUAGCUACAGGCUUAACACAUGCAAGUCGCGGGGCAGCAUGGGGGUUGCUUGCAAUCCCCGAUGGCGACCGGCGCACGGGUGAGUAACGCGUAUCCAACCUGCCCUUCACCACGGGAUAACCCGGCGAAAGUCGGACUAAUACCGUAUGUUGUCCAUUGACGGCAUCCGAUUUGGACGAAAGGUUUGGCGGGGAAGGAUGGGGAUGCGUCCGAUUAGCUGGACGGCGGGGUGACGGCCCACCGUGGCGGCGAUCGGUAGGGGUUCUGAGAGGAAGGUCCCCCACACUGGAACUGAGACACGGUCCAGACUCCUACGGGAGGCAGCAGUGAGGAAUAUUGGUCAAUGGGCGUAAGCCUGAACCAGCCAAGUAGCGUGCAGGAUGACGGCCCUAUGGGUUGUAAACUGCUUUUAUGCGGGGAUAAAGUGGCCCACGUGUGGGUUUUUGCAGGUACCGCAUGAAUAAGGACCGGCUAAUUCCGUG